rnacentral:rRNA from 1 species
UACGUAGGGGUCGAGCGUUGUCCGGAGUUACUGGGCGUAAAGCGCAUGCAGGCGGCUCAUUACGCAUGGCGUGAAAGCCCCCGGCUUAACCGGGGAGGGUCGUCGUGAACGGGUGAGCUUGAGGGUAUCAGGGGCUGGUGGAAUUCCCGGUGUAGUGGUGAAAUGCGUAGAGAUCGGGGGAACACCUGUGGCGAAGGCGGCCAGCUGGGAUACACCUGACGCUGAGAUGCGAAGGCGUGGGGAGCGAACGGG